UACGGGGGGAGCAAGCGUUGUUCGGAUUUACUGGGCGUAAAGGGCGCGUAGGCGGUCGUGACAAGUCACUUGUGAAAUCUCCGGGCUUAACUCGGAACGGUCAAGUGAUACUGUCGGACUAGAGUACAGAAGGGGCAACUGGAAUUCUCGGUGUAGCGGUGAAAUGCGUAGAUAUCGAGAGGAACACCUGCGGCGAAGGCGGAUCUCUGGGCCUUACCUGACGCUGAGGAGCGAAAGCAUGGGGAGCAAACAGG
rnacentral:rRNA from 1 species